rnacentral:rRNA from 1 species
AUUGAACGCUGGCGGCAUGCCUUACACAUGCAAGUCGAACGGCAGCACGGGAGCAAUCCUGGUGGCGAGUGGCGAACGGGUGAGUAAAGUAUCGGAACGUGCCCGGUCGUGGGGGAUAACGUAGCGAAAGCUACGCUAAUACCGCAUACGAUCUAUGGAUGAAAGCGGGGGAUCGCAAGACCUCGCGCGAUUGGAGCGGCCGAUAUCAGAUUAGGUAGUUGGUGGGGUAAAGGAACACCAAGCCGACGAUCUGUAGCUGGUCUGAGAGGACGACCAGCCACACUGGGACUGAGACACGGCCCAGACUCCUACGGGAGGCAGCAGUGGGGAAUUUUGGACAAUGGGCGCAAGCCUGAUCCAGCAAUGCCGCGUGCAGGAUGAAGGCCUUCGGGUUGUAAACUGCUUUUGUACGGAGCGAAAAGGCUCUCUCUAAUACAGGGGGCUCAUGACGGUACCGUAAGAAUAAGCACCGGCUAACUACGUGCCAGCCGCCGCCGUAACAC